CUUCUCUGUACUUCAAUUCUACCUGGAUAAUCUCACUAUUCUCAAGACUUCAACCACAGUAAAUAGUGACCAUCCCUAACACUUCUAUCUAGAGCUGUGCUUUCAGCUCCUUACUGGACAUCUCCGCCUGCUUGUCUUCUAGGCAGUUAUAAUUCAUUGUGUUACACAUUAAAUUUUCCCUCUACCAGCGCUCUUUCACAUCCCCCAAAAUCCUGGUUCAUCUACUGAAUUCUCAGUCUUCAACGCUGCCACAUGUUUUAACACUUCUCCAACCUCAUACUGUCUAAUUUAUCCUUGAGUAGUGCCUUCUAUUUCCUCUUUUAUAUUGAAUUCAUUACCCCAGUUUGCUGAUUUUUCUCAAAAAAUUGUUUCUGAAUAUCAAUCCUCAUCACCAUCUUUUAUCUCGGUCCUAUAUCACCUC
rnacentral:lncRNA from 1 species